rnacentral:rRNA from 1 species
GAUGAACGCUGGCGGCGUGCCUAAUACAUGCAAGUCGAGCGAACGGACGAGAAGCUUGCUUUUCUGAUGUUAGCGGCGGACGGGUGAGUAACACGUGGAUAACCUACCUAUAAGACUGGGAUAACUUCGGGAAACCGGAGCUAAUAUCGGAUAAUAUUUUGAACCGCAUGGUUCAAAAGUGAAAGACGGUCUUGCUGUCACUUAUAGAUGGAUCCGCGCUGCAUUAGCUAGUUGGUAAGGUAACGGCUUACCAAGGCAACGAUGCAUAGUCGACCUGAGAGGGUGAUCGGCCACACUGGAACUGAGACACGGUCCAGACUCCUACGGGAGGCAGCAGUAGGGAAUCUUCCGCAAUGGGCGAAAGCCUGACGGAGCAACGCCGCGUGAGUGAUGAAGGUCUUCGGAUCGUAAAACUCUGUUAUUAGGGAAGAACAUAUGUGUAAGUAACUGUGCACAUCUUGACGGUACCUAAUCAGAAAGCCACGGCUAACUACGUG